CAGAGGACGUGGAUAAACUCGGGAAACUGAGGCUAAACCGCGAUAGACCAAGAUACCUGGAAUGGUUUUUGAUCAAAAUCUAUAUGGCCUUUGGAUUGGACUGCGACCGAUCAGGCUGUUGGUGAGGUAAUGGCCCACCAAACCUGUAACCGGUACGGGCUCUGAGAGGAGGAGCCCGGAGAUGGGUACUGAGAAAAGGACCCAGGCCCUAUGGGGCGCAGCAGGCGCGAAACCUCUGCAAUAGGCGAAAGCCUGACAGGGUUAUUCUGAGUGACUUUCGCUAAGAAAGUCUUUUGACAUCUCUAAAAAUGGUGUAGAAUAAGGGGUGGGCAAGUCUGGUGUCAGCCGCCGCGGUAAUACCAGCACCCCGAGUGGUCGGGACGAUUAUUGGGCCUAAGGCAUCCGUAGCCGGUUUUACAAGUCCUCCGUUAAAUCCAACUGCUUAACAGAUGGGCCGCGGAGGAUACUAUAAGACUAGGAGGCAGGAGAGGCAAGCGGUACUCA
rnacentral:rRNA from 1 species